CGAAAGGAAGGCUGCAUCGUAU
rnacentral:siRNA from 1 species